rnacentral:lncRNA from 1 species
UCACCAUCUGUCUUGACAUGCUAUUUCCUUGCUGUAUUCCCAGCUAUUUGACCAAAACCUCAAUGUCCUGUAAGUAGUUCUUUGCCAGUUUUCUAUAGAAUACAUUUCCUGUCCCUAGAGCAACACUGAUUAUCUUUUUGGUUUUGGGAUCUUCCAGAUAAUCCUUUCUUUAGAAUCUGAAGCCAUCUGUUCAGAAUGAUCCAGAAGAAGGUG